rnacentral:rRNA from 1 species
UGGGGAAUAUUGGACAAUGGGCGAAAGCCUGAUCCAGCCAUGCCGCGUGUGCGAAGAAGGUCUUCGGAUUGUAAAGCACUUUAAGUUGGGAGGAAGGGCAUUAACCUAAUACGUUAGUGUUUUGACGUUACCGACAGAAUAAGCACCGGCUAACUCUGUGCCAGCAGCCGCGGUAAUACAGAGGGUGCAAGCGUUAAUCGGAAUUACUGGGCGUAAAGCGCGCGUAGGUGGUUUGUUAAGUUGGAUGUGAAAUCCCCGGGCUCAACCUGGGAACUGCAUUCAAAACUGACUGACUAGAGUAUGGUAGAGGGUGGUGGAAUUUCCUGUGUAGCGGUGAAAUGCGUAGAUAUAGGAAGGAACACCAGUGGCGAAGGCGACCACCUGGACUAAUACUGACACUGAGGUGCGAAAGCGUGGGGAGCAAACA